AGAGGGAAGCAGGUACCAACAAACUCGCACCUGGUUGCUUUGUAAAAUGAGAAUUUUUUUAAGUGCUGUAUCAAGUCAGCCCUCUGAGGUCAGCUCCGACUUCCCAUUUGCUUUUUGUAAACGGUAAUGAUGUUUAAAAGGUGCUUUCAAAUGAUCUCAUUUGAUGCUGAGGCAAUCAAGGCGUUUAGUCCCAUUUUACAGAUGAAGUAACUGAGUCUGCCUGAGGCGAGAAGACUUGCCUGAGGCUACACCCCUCGUCAGCAUCUGGACCACUGCCCCUGCCCUGUGCUACAGAACCCCAUCCUGGAACUUUCAUAAUGUUGAUGAGACCAUCGCACAGGUUAUAACUGAACUUCAAGACCUUCCUAGAAAUCUUUCCUCCAGACUGGAGUUCGCUGUAGGUUCUGACUUCAACAAUUCAAACCUCAAGUUUGGGGCGGUCCAAGGGCUACGUGCAAGAAAAGAGCUGAGUCUGGAUACCUGGAUUCCCAGCCUGCCACCAGCUUUCUAGCCAGGCUCCCUGACGCCCGCCCGGUAGAGCGCAUUCUCCACGCCGGACCAGACGGUGUCUCAUGCUGCCCUUGGCAUCCCCACCUCACUACAGGAGAAAAAGGAUGAAAAGUCACAGCUUCUGUGCUUCUGAGGGCAGAGACUAUCUUUCAUUUAUUCCAAGUGCCCUGCUAGCACGGACUUCAAUCAUAGACAAGUCCUGGACUUGCCCAGGUAACUCAACGAAGGCCUACUGGGACCAAGUGAAAGCAUGUGACUCCUGACUGGGAGGUAGGCUCUGGGAUCUAAGUGAGGCCUGGCUCUACCCAGCCAGCCAAAGAACCAGCGGAAGCUCUGGUUUCACUGUGGCUGAUCGCGGAUAGUGCAGCGCUUCUCACGUCUCCAAACUGGUGCAACUGCCUGCCGUGGGCGCCCUGAUCAAACAAGUAACUUGCUUCUCUUUCCUGUGAAAAGAACUGAAACUCAGGCUCAGAGCCUCGCAAAACAAAGAAAUCUUUACCCGCCCGGUGCUAUCCUGUGUCACCCCACUCCCAGAGUCUGCGCGUCUUUGAUGGAGCCCCCCUCGCCCAACUCGUCGCAGCGCCGCUCAAGGCAGCUGUCUGCGUGGGAGACGCGGUAGGGAGAGGUUCUCCCGGCGCCAGCGACUUAUCAGGGAAUUGAGCUCCCAAUCCUUUUCUCCCGCUUUCCACUCCAGCUUGGGAAAUCUUGAAGUGGCCACUGGGGAUUAGGUGCCUCUGGGAUUCCAAUUGCCCAAAGCAUGCUCCGUGGGCGUCUGGACAUAAAGACACCUACCUGGGCACAGACCUGGCUGGCAUUCCCUCAGGACUGGUGAGGUGUGAGCAGAUGAACUGCCACAUCUGAGGCCUGCCGAGUGCCUAGUAGAAAAAGAACUGAGGGGUGAGUCCAAGGGCCAUACCUAGGUCACCCACCUUCAUCCUGGUUCCCAUUCCACUAGGACAGGUGGUACUGGUACUCUCAAAAGUAGAGAGAAACUUGGGCCACAAUGUCUCAAGCAUCCUUGAAUAUCAAAAGGAGAAGAAAUUCCAAAACAGGAUCUUAGAUAGGGUGGCUCAUAUUCAAUGCUUAUAUUUAAAAAAAAAAAAAAAAAAAAAAAGUCAUAUAUUAGUAUUAAUGAAUUAGGCCAGGCACAGUGGCUUACACCUGUAAUCCCAGCACUUUAGGAGGCCAAGGCAGGAGGAUCGCUUGAGCUCUAGAGUUCAAGACCAGCCUGGGCAACAUAGCAAGACCUCAUUUCUACAAAAAAUACAAAAGUAGCUGGAUGUGGUGGCACAUGCCUAUAGUCCGGGCUACUCAGGAGUCUGAGGUAGGAGGAUUGCUUGAGCCCAGGAGGUUGAGGCUGUCUUGAGCCUUGAUUGUGCCACUGAACUCCAGCUUGGGUGACAGAGGGAGACCCUGUCUCAGAAAAAACAGCAAAAUGAAACAAAAAAAAGCAGUGACUGUAAGUCAGAAUAUGUACUAAGUACUCUACAAUGCAUUUCAAUUGCAUUUCAUCAGACAAAAGCCCAGUGAAGUGUCAUCAGGCACUUUUCACAAAGGAGAAGGCUGAGGCACCAACGCACCGCCCAGAACCCUCUUCAUGAAAGGAUCCGUCCCAGGUGCUAGGAGGUAGACAUCCUUCAGCAUUUAGUUAUUUUAGGGACUGUCUCUACUACAGAGCAGCUUUUCCCAAAAGCACACCUUCCCUAGGCUGCCUGCACGGCUCACACAUCAUCUAGGUGGGGGUGAAAGAUUGGCCAGAUAGGCAUAACAUGGGACAACUCUGAUGGGACGUUUUGACUCCAGAGAUCCCCAUGGAAUCAGUCAAGGCUGUCAGGCUUACAUGGCAACUCUUUUUCUCUGCCCAAUCCAUCCUCCUCCCUGCUGCUUUCUUCCGUGGGUGUUGAGCCUGAGAACCUUCUUUAAUAAACAUCCUGCAUGAUAAACUGUCUCUGGGACCAGGAAAUCCAGCCUGCAACAGGCCCAGAGACUAAGAGACUUCCCUAAAAUCACUCAGUAACCAAGGAACAGGGCAAAGGAGGAAGGAGCAGGGCUGGAGAGGCAGGGGAAGAGCUAUUCAAUGUGAAGGGCUUUGUAACAGAGCAGAAGGUUAUUCAGAGGACCUCCUAGGACCCCAGGAGACCCUUCAGGUCCACGACUUAUGGAGGUCCAAAGGGCUAAAUCUUCCUUCUCUACUAGCAGGGAUGCCCACAGCCCAAGUGUCAGCAGCUAGGAAUUAGACUAGAUCCUUUCAGGGAUGGCUUUUUCCAUUUCCUCUAUGGAGGAAGUGGAAUUUGAAACAUACUUUAAAAGUAUGAGCAACUGUGGAGGCAGAAAAGCCAUACAAGCAGCAGGGACAGAAUGAGCAGGGUAGUGGGAAGGGAGCGGGAUGGCCUGGUGGAAUAAUAUUAUUGAUGAGGAAAAGCUGGAAAUUUUGCUGGGGAGGGCUCUGAAUGUCAGUUAUCUGAUGUGGAUGCAGUGGGGACAGGCAAAGGCUUUCCGUCAGCCACUCUCAUUCUACCAAUACACUCUGUCUCUGUAACUCCAUCCUCCCCCACCAAUCUAUUUCCUCUCAGGGUUUGCUUGUGCUGCUGGCCUGGUCUGACCAUAGCUGAUACUGAAGCUGACUAUUUAUAGCGUUGGAGGACAGAUAGAGUGGCAAGGCCAGUUUCCAUGACACCAGGGCUCCUAGAGGGUGACUUCCUCUCUGCUGGGUCCUCACUCACCUUGUCUGGGUCCACAUUCUCUCCGGUUACCUCCAACACUGCUUCCAGUGUCAUUCCUUGGGUGGCAUCAGGGCUACUGCUAGGUGAGAACACAGCAGUAAACCAGCUAGCAGUGACAAUGCUGGCUCCAGGUACCACCACCAUUUCCCCCUCUCCUCCCAUCUUCACACUAGGGCACAUACCAGGCUGUAACUCAGCCAUCACUGCUGGGUAAUGUGGGUCUGGGGUCCUCUUCCACCCCCAGGCCUGCCCACCUAGCUUCUGCCUUCAACUGCUACCUACUGACCACCUGAAAUUAUGAAUCCCAGAGGGUAAGAAGACAAGAUACAAAUGACAGAGGUCUGAAGAUAGAAGAGGACAGACAAAACAAUAAAGGUGGAAAAAUCACAGUGAAGAUACCUAUUAAUACUAUCCUAGCCAGAUUUAGCUCUUAUUUGGAGUCUUCCAAGCAUGGUUAAAAGAAAAAAGAGUUCUUCCAUUUGUCAGCUAUGAGGAUUUGACAAGUCAUUUAGCCUGCUAGAGCUAUUUCUUCAUUGUCUUUUAGUCAACAACUAUUUAUUGAAUGCUUUCCAUUGGCUAUACACUGUUUCAUGUAUUAGAAAAUCAACAGCAAACAAAACUGACCAAAAUGUCCUCCCUUGUGAAGCUUACAUUUUAGUGUAAGGGGCAAACAAUAAAAUAAAUAAGUAAACUAUA